rnacentral:rRNA from 1 species
UACAGAGGGUGCAAGCGUUAAUCGGAAUUACUGGGCGUAAAGCGUGCGUAGACGGUUACAUAAGUCGGGUGUGAAAGCCCCGGGCUCAACCUGGGAAUUGCAUUCGAGACUGCGUAGCUAGGGUGCGGAAGAGGGAAGCGGAAUUUCCGGUGUAGCGGUGAAAGUGCGUAGAUAUCGGAAGGAACACCAGUGGCGAAGGCGGCUUGCCAGAACGCGCGUCGACGGUGAGGGAUGAAAGCUGGGGGAGCAAACCGGG